UCUGAAUUCUUAAAGCCUAUGCCAUAAGAAACAACAACAAAGGAGCAAGGAUGAAGAGAACCACCACCAAAUAUAAAUCAUGAACUUUGAUUACAUUAAAAAAACUAAUGAAGACUUUUUAUAUGCUGACAACUAAGUAAAUUUUAAUAUUAAUACAAAGAAGGUGACAUUGCAUUUGAUAGUGAUUUUCUUAUUUUAAUGUGGUGAUAUAGGAAAUCAUCCUUAUCUAAGGAGAUGCAUGUUCAGAUUUUGAGACAAGAAUCGUGAUGACUUCAAUUUCAGACAGAUCAAGAAUAUGAAGGAAUGAGCAGGACAUGAGCAGGACACGGUUGGGAAGUUACACACUGAUCCACUCUCCUAGAUACCAAUGUUUUUGGUGUCAAGCAGGAAAUAGAACCUACGAGUAAGGAGAACACUUGUGUUACAUUGAAAGUCCACCCAGAUAAUCCAAAAUAAUUUCACCAUUUCAAGAUCUUUGACUUCAUCAUUACACCAAGAUGCAAGAACAAAUCCUGGAACGGCCUGAGUGCUGACCUGGAACAAAAUUUUAUGGAAAAGGCUGGACUCCCUGUUUCUGACUGAUGCUCAUAAUAGGGCAUAGCCAGAAUCUUUUUUUUUUUUUUAAUUUUUUGCAUAGCCCGAUUCUUUUUUUUUUAUUUUUUAUUUUUUGCAUAGCCAGAUUCUUUUUUUUUUUUUUUAAUUUUUUGCAUAGCCCGAUUCUUAAGGUCACUUGCAGAAAGGGCUCCAGCUGAAAGAGUCCCUACGCACAUCUACGACAAUCUCGUUUUGGACGACAGGUUGGUGACUGUCCACGGCUUCCCUAACCCACCCCCCUGUGCAUGGGAGGCGGCGUAGGAACAAGAAGCGCUCCUGUUGGGACAGCAUCGCAGUUAUUACCCUCCCAAAAGGGGAAUGCUUUGCGGAGGGUCCUUCGGUCCCAGUCCCAGCCGCUGUCCCCGGAAGUCCUGCGAUCCCCGAACACGGCAGCUGUCCCUUCUGCGAAAGAAACGACUUGUUGGGCAUCUGCCACGUGCGAAAUAAACGGGAAGGUCCGGAAGGUUCCAGAAAUGAAGAGGCGCCGCUGCGGUCCUCAGGAGCGCGCGCGCCCCGCCCCUCACCCGGUCUCCGCGCCGAGCCCCGCCCCUGUACCUGCGAGCGGCGCCGCAUCCUAAGAAACCUGGCGCGUCCCGGCGGGGGGGGGGGAGGG